AUGAAUAUUUGGUAUCAUUUAUUAAUAAAAACACAUUUGUUUUGCUCUGCAGAAUCGGAUUCGGAUGAUUCAAGCUGUCGUGUCCAAGACCCAGAGCCUGAACUCCUUUAUUUUAGAGCCUCUGAGGACCAAGAAAACAUUACUGGUCAAACUGGAGGAAGAACAGAAGAAGUGACAGAAACAGUCUAUAACAGAGAAGCACAGGACUGGCCAGACGCAGAUACUCCAGCACUGAUAGGCUACGCUCCUCCAGUUCUUCCUGUGGCCACAAGCCAAAAUGUCCCAUUUUACAGCGCUGAUAGUGUCAAUGUCCCAAGUGCCCUUUCACAUUGUCCUCUCAGUAAUCUGUCAUCAGCUGCUGAUGGUGAGAAGCCAUCGACACAAUUUAAUUCAUCUGAUGUUUGCUGUGGCCUGUGAGGGGGCAGCUCUCUAAUGUUUUAAAUAUUUGCUCCUGCAGAGGAAACCUCGUCUUCAGGUCCACAGAUGGUGAGAAGUCUUUUAAAAUCGUCUCUAAGUGAAUAAGGAGCACAAUGAUGGUGAUGACAAAACUUGGCUUGAUGUUUAGCAUUGAAGAGGUGUGUUAGGGCCACUUGGAAAAAGGGAGUAUUGAUGGAGGGUUGAGGCUAAAGUCAACAUUCAAUUUCCAGAAAAAAGUCUAAAUAAAGUCUUUUUGCUCCUGAAACCCACGGUGUUUGUUUAAUAAUAGUGUAACCGAGGGAUGUGAGUAAGAUUGGAAAACCAACUGACCUUCUUAGCAUUAGAAACAAUCUUUCCUGUAGCAGCCAGUGUUGGGCAAGUUACUUCAAAACUGUAAUGCAUUAUUUAUUACUUGUUACCCUCAUUUUAAUGUAAUUGAUUACAUUACAAUAUUACUGAUUUUAAAAUGUAAGGCAUUACACUACUUUUGCAUUACUUUCAGUUACUUUCACCAAAACAAUUUCAAUAGGAAUUAGGUCAUGUGAUGCUCAGUGAACUCAUGACACAUCCAGAGGAAGGCGAUGCAGUGUCUGAGCUAGGAUAGCUGUUAAAAACAGUCAGAUAUAAUAACAGUUCUUUAUUAAAUAAAUGCAACAACAAUCUGUACUCUCAGCACGCUGCCAUCUUAGAUUAACUGAGCAGGAUGUGAGGUGGUGGGGGCUCCAAGCCUAUAUUUGCCUUGGUCCCCAAAUGCCUUGAUACGGCCCUGGAUGUGGGACUGACUUCUGGGGUGAUCUGAUUCGAUCACAUGUAUAAAUUUUAAAUGCUUAUAUAUUAUUGCUUUUCACUGGUAAAAAUGUGUAUUGGGGAUAAAUCUACCAACUUUUUUUCUUUUCAAGCACUUUGUUUUGUUUUCUUGAUUUUAUUUGAAUAAUUUCUGGCCCUUUCUCUCUCUAACCUUCCUGCAUGCUGCAUGUUUUCUCCGUCUUCCAGAAAAACUGUUUCCUAGAUUUCCUACUUUCUAACUAAUCAGCCAAAGGGAUCUACCGAACGCAAAAAAAAAAAAAA
rnacentral:lncRNA from 1 species